GUCCAGCAUGAUAGAAGCCAGGACAGCUGCACUGCCGUGGUCAUCCGAGACCUCACAGAGCUUCUUGUUUCAGAAUUCCGAGAGCUAGCCCAAUCUGCUCUGAAGCAUGCUAGAGACCAAGUUAUUUCUUUCUUCUCCCCCUCUGCCUCCUUUUUUUUCCUCAUGCCACUCAGUUCUCCUAGGCUCCUCUUCAAAGAUUUGAUGAAGAUAAAAAUUCAUUUUUGAGCCAGGAUGUGUCACUAGCUGGGAAAUGAGAAGCCAAUGAAUCACAGUAGGAGGCCGCGAGUUUCUGGUUGACCUUCGGUCGAAGUGAACACCUUAAUUCUCCAGGGCUAAGAAGGACUUCAUGUAGCUGAUAGGCAGUUGGAAUAGAGAAGCUCUGAAGCUCUUUCCAUCUCAGGGAUCUGAGAUUUCCUAAGACCAUUGUUCUUGUCCAUUCACUGAAUCUUAAUUUGUUAAUCCAUGUAUUAGUGAUUCCUCUGAGCUUUGUAUCAUCUGUCACUGAGGUUACAAUCCUGAGAACUCCCAAGCCUGGCUGUUUCCAUAGUCAUUGAAUUAGUAAGUGAAGGCUCAUUUGCUAAUAAUCUGAGUGGGGUUCUUAAAGUGCAUAUACUUGGCAGACAAUAUUAAUAAGUAUGAGGUUUCUG
rnacentral:lncRNA from 1 species